GCUCGCGGCAGAGCGGGUUGCGCGCCGCGCGGGUCCCGACGCCCCGGCCCCGGCCCCGGCCCCGGCCUGCGCGCCGCUGCGCCUGAGCGGGUCGCAUCUGCCCCGGCAUCGAGGAUCCACCGUCCAGCCUUGGAAUGUACUGCUUUUCCAGUCCCAAUCUCCUUUGCAGGAUGGGUGUGACUGGCUGCUAACCUGGUAUUAAAUGACUCCUCCAGGACCAUGGCUACUCCGUGUGUUGUCCACAAAGCUGUCUCUGGGAAAGGGUGCUGGAGAGGUUCAUAUUGUCAACUACUGGUUGGAUGUUGUGACUACACCCAGAUUGCAGGCCGAGUCUGCUGCAUAUAUCACCUUCUUUUAGAGACUAAAAGAGGUUUU
rnacentral:lncRNA from 1 species